rnacentral:lncRNA from 1 species
GCACCCAAAACAUCCUAGGUACUCCUAGGGAGCCCUUUUCAUAAGUGUUGUUCUAGUCUAAAGGGUGUAGGUAUAUCUAAAGUACUAUUUACUAAAAGGAAGGUUAAAAGAAAAUGACUCGCAAGGAUGUCGCAUCCACUGCCUACGUAUCUCAUCCGAGUAUGAGAAUCAGAGUCUUCGUAGCUCGGCUACCUAUGGGUUAAAG